UGGCGAGAGAAAUGAUUAAAUUAUAAUUCUCGAAGUCUGAAGAGCUAUUUUAAAAAACAUUUUAGUGAAUAAUAUUUAAAUGUAGAAAAAUUUUUUAGAAAAUUUAAAAUAGUAAUGAUAUGUUAUUCGAAUCAGAGGAUAGCUAGUUAUAAUAUAAAUAUAUUUAAGUAUAAAUAUUAAUAUAUUUAAAAGCUAUAUAAAGUUUUUAAAUGAUUAAUAAUUUAAUUAUAUAAGGUUAAGCUUAUAUAAUUUUAUAGAUUAUUUAUUUCUUGAAAAAAUAUUUAGGUUUUUAAUUGAUUAUAAUUUGAAGUUUGUUAUGAAAUAUUAAAAAUAAAAAAUAUUAUGUUAUUGUGAUAUAUUAUUAAAUUUAAUAAUAAAAUUAUUUUGUAAUAAUGCUAGAAUAAGUAUUAAUAUAAUUUGUAAUAAUAAUGUAUAAUAUAUAUAAAAUUAUUAUUAAAAUAAUAUAGUGAGAAAUAUAAUAAGAUGAACUCGGCAAAAUAAUCUUCUACCUGUUUAACAAAAACAUGUCUCUUUG
rnacentral:rRNA from 1 species